CCUACGGGAGGCAGCAGUGGGGAAUAUUGGACAAUGGGCGCAAGCCUGAUCCAGCCAUACCGCGUGUGUGAAGAAGGCCUUUUGGUUGUAAAGCACUUUAAGCGAGGAGGAGGCUCUUGAGGAUAAUACCCUUGAUGAGUGGACGUUACUCGCAGAAUAAGCACCGGCUAACUCUGUGCCAGCAGCCGCGGUAAUACAGAGGGUGCGAGCGUUAAUCGGAAUUACUGGGCGUAAAGCGCGCGUAGGCGGCUUGUUAAGUCGGAUGUGAAAUCCCCGGGCUCAACCUGGGCACUGCAUUCGAUACUGGCAAGCUAGAGUAUGGGAGAGGAAGGUAGAAUUCCAGGUGUAGCGGUGAAAUGCGUAGAGAUCUGGAGGAAUACCGAUGGCGAAGGCAGCCUUCUGGCCUAAUACUGACGCUGAGGUGCGAAAGCAUGGGGAGCAAACAGGAUUAGAUACCCUGGUAGUCCAUGCCGUAAACGAUGUCAACUAGCCGUUGGGGACCUUGAGUCUUUAGUGGCGCAGCUAACGCGAUAAGUUGACCCGCCUGGGGAGUACGGUCGCAAGACUAAAACGUCAAAGGAAUUGACGG
rnacentral:rRNA from 1 species